UACGUAGGGUGCAAGCGUUGUCCGGAAUUAUUGGGCGUAAAGCGCUUGUAGGCGGCACGUCAAGUCGCGUGUGAAAUCCCCCAGGCUUAACCUGGGAAGUGCGCGCGAAACUGACGAGCUUGAGUGCCGGAGAGGGUCGCGGAAUUCCCGGUGUAGAGGUGAAAUUCGUAGAUAUCGGGAGGAACACCAGUGGCGAAGGCGGCGACCUGGACGGACACUGACGCUGAGACGCGAAAGCGUGGGGAGCA
rnacentral:rRNA from 1 species